AUUGAACGCUGGCGGCAUGCUUUACACAUGCAAGUCGAACGGCAGCGGGGGCUUCGGCCCGCCGGCGAGUGGCGAACGGGUGAGUAAUACAUCGGAACGUGUCCUUGAGUGGGAAUAACGCAUCGAAAGAUGUGCUAAUACCGCAUAUCUCUGAGGAGAAAAGCAGGGGAUCGCAAGACCUUGCGCUAAAGGAGCGGCUGAUGUCUGAUUAGCUAGUUGGUGAGGUAAAGGCUCACCAAGGCAACGAUCAGUAGUUGGUCUGAGAGGACGGCCAACCACACUGGGACUGAGACACGGCCCAGACUCCUACGGGAGGCAGCAGUGGGGAAUUUUGGACAAUGGGCGAAAGCCUGAUCCAGCCAUGCCGCGUGAGUGAAGAAGGCCUUCGGGUUGUAAAGCUCUUUUAGUCGGAAAGAAAAGAUCAUAAUGAACAAUUAUGAUUCAUGACGGUACCGACAGAAAAAGCACCGGCUAACUACGUG
rnacentral:rRNA from 1 species